rnacentral:rRNA from 1 species
ACGUAGGGUGCGAGCGUUAAUCGGAAUUACUGGGCGUAAAGCGUGCGCAGGCGGUUUGCUAAGUCGGGUGUGAAAUCCCCGGGCUUAACCUGGGAAUGGCAUUUGUGACUGGCAGGCUAGAGUACGGUAGAGGGGGGUAGAAUUCCAGGUGUAGCGGUGAAAUGCGUAGAGAUCUGGAGGAAUACCGAUGGCGAAGGCGGCCCCCUGGACAAAGACUGACGCUCAGGUGCGAAAGCGUGGGGAGCAAACAG